UAUUCAAUAAGCGGAGGAAAAGAAACCAACCGGGAUUGCCCCAGUAACGGCGAGUGAAGCGGCAUCAGCUCAAAUUUGAAAGCCUCUGGCGUUGUAGUUUGAAGGUUGGGGGCGGGCGCAGCCGCCAAGUCCUCUGGAACGAGGCGCCUCAGAGGGUGACAGCCCCGUGGCAGCACUACGCGCCCGUACGCCCCCACACCGACGAGUCGAGUUGUUUGGGAAUGCAGCUCCAAGUGGGUGGUAAACUCCAUCUAAGGCUAAAUACCGGCGAGAGACCGAUAGCGAACAAGUACAGUGAUGGAAAGAUGAAAAGCACUUUGAAAAGAGAGUGAAACAGUACGUGAAAUUGCUGAAAGGGAAGGGUGGGGCCGGGAGCAUAAGGGGGAGCAGGGCGCGCGCAACAAACGCAGAGGAACGUGGCUUCGGUGUUAUAGCCUCUGCCGCCGGCGCGCGCCCUUCUCAGGCCUUCUGGUCCCUUGUCUCGGCUCCACCACCCGUCUUGAAACACG
rnacentral:rRNA from 1 species